rnacentral:rRNA from 1 species
UACGGGGGGGGCAAGCGUUGUUCGGAAUUACUGGGCGUAAAGGGCUGGUAGGCGGCCAACUAAGUCGGAUGUGAAAUCCCCAGGCUUAACCUGGGAACUGCAUCCGAUACUGGUCGGCUUGAAUCCGGGAGAGGGAUGCAGAAUUCCAGGUGUAGCGGUGAAAUGCGUAGAUAUCUGGAGGAAUACCGGUGGCGAAGGCGGCAUCCUGGACCGGCAUUGACGCUGAACAGCGAAAAGCUAGGGGAGCAAACGGG